AUUGAACGCUGGCGGCAUGCCUUACACAUGCAAGUCGAACGGUAACAGGUCUUCGGAUGCUGACGAGUGGCGAACGGGUGAGUAAUACAUCGGAACGUGCCUAGUAGUGGGGGAUAACUACUCGAAAGAGUGGCUAAUACCGCAUGAGAUCUACGGAUGAAAGCAGGGGAUCGCAAGACCUUGUGCUACUAGAGCGGCCGGUGGCAGAUUAGGUAGUUGGUGGGAUAAAAGCUUACCAAGCCGACGAUCUGUAGCUGGUCUGAGAGGACGAUCAGCCACACUGGGACUGAGAAACGGCCCAGACUCCUACGGGAGGCAGCAGUGGGGAAUUUUGGACAAUGGGCGCAAGCCUGAUCCAGCGAUGCCGCGUGCAGGAUGAAGGCCUUCGGGUUGUAAACUGCUUUUGUACGGAACGAAAAGCCCCGGGUUAAUACCCUGGGGUCAUGACGGUACCGUAAGAAUAAGCACCGGCUAACUACGUGCCAGCCGCCGCGGUAA
rnacentral:rRNA from 1 species